rnacentral:tRNA from 1 species
GGGGGUGUAGUCUAAUGGAAGGACACAGGACGUUGGCUAGAGUUCUGAGACUGUGGGUUCGAAUCCCGCCACCUUCACCA